UACGGGGGGGGGCAAGCGUUGUUCGGAAUUACUGGGCGUAAAGGGUGCGUAGGCGGCCUACUAAGUCAGACGUGAAAUCCCCCGGCUUAACCUGGGAACUGCGUCUGAUACUGGAAGGCUUGAGUAUGGGAGAGGGAUGUAGAAUUCCAGGUGUAGCGGUGAAAUGCGUAGAUAUCUGGAGGAAUACCGGUGGCGAAAGCGACUUCCUGGACCAAUACUGACGCUCAUGUGCGAAAGCGUGGGGAGCAAACAGG
rnacentral:rRNA from 1 species